AGUGGCGGACGGGUGAGUAACACAUGGGUCACCUACCCCCAAGUGCGGAAUACCGGCGAGAAAUCGCUGACAAUACCGCAUAUGCCGCCAGCAAAGUCGCGCUUGGGGAUGGGCCUGUGGCCGAUUAGCUCGUUGGUGGGGUAAUGGCCUACCAAGGCGACGAUCGGUAGCUGGUCUGAGAGGAUGAUCAGCCACAUUGGGAUUGAGAACGGCCCAGACUCCUACGGGAGGCAGCAGUGAGGAAUUUUCCGCAAUGGACGCAAGUCUGACGGAGCAACGCCGCGUGCAGGACGAAGGUCUUCGGAUCGUAAACUGCUUUUCUCGGGGAUGAAUGACAGUACCCGAGGAAUCAGCCUCGGCUAACUACGUGCCA
rnacentral:rRNA from 1 species